GGGUUGUGAGGUUAAGCGACUAAGCGUACACGGUGGAUGCCCUGGCAGUCAGAGGCGAUGAAGGACGUGCUAAUCUGCGAUAAGCGUCGGUAAGGUGAUAUGAACCGUUAUAACCGGCGAUUUCCGAAUGGGGAAACCCAGUGUGAUUCGUCACACUAUCAUUAACUGAAUCCAUAGGUUAAUGAGGCGAACCGGGGGAACUGAAACAUCUAAGUACCCCGAGGAAAAGAAAUCAACCGAGAUUCCCCCAGUAGCGGCGAGCGAACGGGGAGAGCCCAGAGCCUGAAUCAGUGUGUGUGUUAGUGGAAGCGUCUGGAAAGGCGCGCGAUACAGGGUGACAGCCCCGUACACAAAAAUGCACAUGCUGUGAGCUCGAUGAGUAGGGCGGGACACGUGGUAUCCUGUCUGAAUAUGGGGGGACCAUCCUCCAAGGCUAAAUACUCCUGACUGACCGAUAGUGAACCAGUACCGUGAGGGAAAGGCGAAAAGAACCCCGGCGAGGGGAGUGAAAAAGAACCUGAAACCGUGUACGUACAAGCAGUGGGAGCCUCUUUAUGGGGUGACUGCGUACCUUUUGUAUAAUGGGUCAGCGACUUAUAUUCUGUAGCAAGGUUAACCGAAUAGGGGAGCCGAAGGGAAACCGAGUCUUAACUGGGCGUUAAGUUGCAGGGUAUAGACCCGAAACCCGGUGAUCUAGCCAUGGGCAGGUUGAAGGUUGGGUAACACUAACUGGAGGACCGAACCGACUAAUGUUGAAAAAUUAGCGGAUGACUUGUGGCUGGGGGUGAAAGGCCAAUCAAACCGGGAGAUAGCUGGUUCUCCCCGAAAGCUAUUUAGGUAGCGCCUCGUGAAUUCAUCUCCGGGGGUAGAGCACUGUUUCGGCAAGGGGGUCAUCCCGACUUACCAACCCGAUGCAAACUGCGAAUACCGGAGAAUGUUAUCACGGGAGACACACGGCGGGUGCUAACGUCCGUCGUGAAGAGGGAAACAACCCAGACCGCCAGCUAAGGUCCCAAAGUCAUGGUUAAGUGGGAAACGAUGUGGGAAGGCCCAGACAGCCAGGAUGUUGGCUUAGAAGCAGCCAUCAUUUAAAGAAAGCGUAAUAGCUCACUGGUCGAGUCGGCCUGCGCGGAAGAUGUAACGGGGCUAAACCAUGCACCGAAGCUGCGGCAGCGACGCUUAUGCGUUGUUGGGUAGGGGAGCGUUCUGUAAGCCUGCGAAGGUGUACUGUGAGGUAUGCUGGAGGUAUCAGAAGUGCGAAUGCUGACAUAAGUAACGAUAAAGCGGGUGAAAAGCCCGCUCGCCGGAAGACCAAGGGUUCCUGUCCAACGUUAAUCGGGGCAGGGUGAGUCGACCCCUAAGGCGAGGCCGAAAGGCGUAGUCGAUGGGAAACAGGUUAAUAUUCCUGUACUUGGUGUUACUGCGAAGGGGGGACGGAGAAGGCUAUGUUGGCCGGGCGACGGUUGUCCCGGUUUAAGCGUGUAGGCUGGUUUUCCAGGCAAAUCCGGAAAAUCAAGGCUGAGGCGUGAUGACGAGGCACUACGGUGCUGAAGCAACAAAUGCCCUGCUUCCAGGAAAAGCCUCUAAGCAUCAGGUAACAUCAAAUCGUACCCCAAACCGACACAGGUGGUCAGGUAGAGAAUACCAAGGCGCUUGAGAGAACUCGGGUGAAGGAACUAGGCAAAAUGGUGCCGUAACUUCGGGAGAAGGCACGCUGAUACGUAGGUGAAGCGACUUGCUCGUGGAGCUGAAAUCAGUCGAAGAUACCAGCUGGCUGCAACUGUUUAUUAAAAACACAGCACUGUGCAAACACGAAAGUGGACGUAUACGGUGUGACGCCUGCCCGGUGCCGGAAGGUUAAUUGAUGGGGUUAGCGGUAACGCGAAGCUCUUGAUCGAAGCCCCGGUAAACGGCGGCCGUAACUAUAACGGUCCUAAGGUAGCGAAAUUCCUUGUCGGGUAAGUUCCGACCUGCACGAAUGGCGUAAUGAUGGCCAGGCUGUCUCCACCCGAGACUCAGUGAAAUUGAACUCGCUGUGAAGAUGCAGUGUACCCGCGGCAAGACGGAAAGACCCCGUGAACCUUUACUAUAGCUUGACACUGAACAUUGAGCCUUGAUGUGUAGGAUAGGUGGGAGGCUUUGAAGUGUGGACGCCAGUCUGCAUGGAGCCGACCUUGAAAUACCACCCUUUAAUGUUUGAUGUUCUAACGUUGGCCCUAUCGGGUUGCGGACAGUGUCUGGUGGGUAGUUUGACUGGGGCGGUCUCCUCCUAAAGAGUAACGGAGGAGCACGAAGGUUGGCUAAUCCUGGUCGGACAUCAGGAGGUUAGUGCAAUGGCAUAAGCCAGCUUGACUGCGAGCGUGACGGCGCGAGCAGGUGCGAAAGCAGGUCAUAGUGAUCCGGUGGUUCUGAAUGGAAGGGCCAUCGCUCAACGGAUAAAAGGUACUCCGGGGAUAACAGGCUGAUACCGCCCAAGAGUUCAUAUCGACGGCGGUGUUUGGCACCUCGAUGUCGGCUCAUCACAUCCUGGGGCUGAAGUAGGUCCCAAGGGUAUGGCUGUUCGCCAUUUAAAGUGGUACGCGAGCUGGGUUUAGAACGUCGUGAGACAGUUCGGUCCCUAUCUGCCGUGGGCGCUGGAGAACUGAGGGGGGCUGCUCCUAGUACGAGAGGACCGGAGUGGACGCAUCACUGGUGUUCGGGUUGUCAUGCCAAUGGCACUGCCCGGUAGCUAAAUGCGGAAGAGAUAAGUGCUGAAAGCAUCUAAGCACGAAACUUGCCCCGAGAUGAGUUCUCCCUGACUCCCUGAGAGUCCUGAAGGAACGUUGAAGACGACGACGUUGAUAGGCCGGGUGUGUAAGCGCAGCGAUGCGUUGAGCUAACCGGUACUAAUGAACCGUGAGGCUUAACCUUACAACGCCGAAG
rnacentral:rRNA from 1 species